rnacentral:lncRNA from 1 species
CGGGGGUGCCGGGAAGGCAUGAGCGGUAAGCUCGGGGGUGCGGGGAAGGCAUGAGCGGUAAGCUCGAGGGUGCCGGGAAGGCAUGAGCGGGAGCUCGUGGGUUGCCAGGAAGGCAUGAGCGGGAAGCUCGGGGGUGCCGGGAAGACAUGAAAGGAAGCUCGGGGGUUGCCGAGAAGGCCUGAGCGGAAGCUCGUGGGUUAUCGGAAAGGCGUGAGCGGUAAGCUAGUGAGCGGAAGCUCAAGGGUGCCGCGAAGGCGUGAGCGAAAGCUCAAGGGUGCCGCGAAGGCGUGAGCGAAAGCUCAAGGGUGCCGCGAGGGUGUGAGCGGUAAGCUCGCGAGCGGAAAGCUCGUGAGCGGAAGCUCAAGGGUGCAGCGAAGGCGUGAGCGGUAAGCUCGCGAGCGGAAAGCUUGUGAGCGGAAGCUCAAGGGUGCCACGAAGGCGUGAGCGGUAAGCUCGCGAACAGAAAGCUCGUGAGCCGAAUCUCAAGGGUGCCGCGAAGGCGUGAGCGGUAAGCUCGCGAGCGGAAAGCUCGUGAGUGGAAGCUCAAGGGUACCGCGAAGGCGUGAGCGGUAAGCUCGCGAGCGGAAAGCUCAUGAACGGAAGCUCAAGGGUACCGCGAAGGCAUGAGCGGUAAGCUCGCGAGCGGAAAGCUCGUGAGUGGAAGCUCAAGGGUGCCGCGAAGGCGUGAGCGAUAGGCUCGCGAGCGGAAAUCUCGUGAACGGAAAGCUCGAGGGUGCCGCGAAUGGACAAGGGCGAAAGUCGGCAAUGCCACUGAGGCACGAGCCCGAGAGUUUGAGGAUGCGCUGAGCUGAGAGCAUGACAUCUCGGCGGUACCGCUGCGGCGAGAGCGUGAGAGCUCGAGGAUGCCGCUGAGCCGAGAGCAUGACAUCUCGGCGGUACCGCUGCGGCGAGAGCGUGAGAGCUCGUGGAUGCCGCUGAGGCUUUAACGGGUAGCUCG